rnacentral:rRNA from 1 species
AUACGGAGGAUCCGAGCGUUAUCCGGAUUUAUUGGGAUUAAAGGGUGCGCAGGCGGCCAUUUAAGUCAGCGGUUAAAUCGUGGGGCUCAACCCCAUUCUGCCGUUGAUACUGGGUGGCUUGAUUGCGGUCGAGGUUGGCGGAAUUCGUUGUGUAGCGGUGAAAUGCAUAGAUAUGACGAAGAACACCGAUUGCGUAGGCAGCUGACCAGACCGCAAAUGACGCUCAUGCACGAAAGUGCGGGGAUCGAACAGGAUUAGAUACCCUGGUAGUCCGCACAGUAAACGAUGAAUACUUGUUUUCGGCGAUAUAAUGUCGGAGGCAAAGCGAAAGCGAUAAGUAUUCCACCUGGGGAGUACGCCGGCAACGGUGAAACUCAAAGGAAUUGACGGGG